rnacentral:rRNA from 1 species
CCGGGCUGCGGACAGUGUCUGGUGGGUAGUUUGACUGGGGCGGUCUCCUCCUAAAGAGUAACGGAGGAGCACGAAGGUCAGCUAAUCACGGUCGGACAUCGUGAGGUUAGUGCAAUGGCAUAAGCUGGCUUGACUGCGAGAGUGACGGCUCGGGCAGGUGCGAAAGCAGGUCAUAGUGAUCCGGUGGUUCUGAAUGGAAGGGCCAUCGCUCAACGGAUAAAAGGUACUCCGGGGAUAACAGGCUGAUACCGCCCAAGAGUUCAUAUCGACGGCGGUGUUUGGCACCUCGAUGUCGGCUCAUCACAUCCUGGGGCUGAAGUAGGUCCCAAGGGUACGGCUGUUCGCCGUUUAAAGUGGUACGCGAGCUGGGUUUAGAACGUCGUGAGACAGUUCGGUCCCUAUCUGCCGUGGGCGCUGGAGAAUUGAGGGGGGUUGCUCCUAGUACGAGAGGACCGGAGUGAACGCACCACUGGUGUUCGGGUUGUCAUGCCAAUGGCAUUGCCCGGUAGCUAAGUGCGGAAAAGAUAAGUGCUGAAAGCAUCUAAGCACGAAACUUGCCCCGAGAUGAGUUCUCCCUGACUCCUUGAGAGUCCUGAAGGGACGUUGAAGACUACGACGUUGAUAGGCCGGGUGUGUAAGCGCAGCGAUGCGUUGAGCUAACCGGUACUAAUGACCCGUGAGGCUUAACCUU